UGAUCGGGCUCCUGCGUGUUAUACAUCUUUCUAGUAGAGAGGAAGACGGCAAGGUGACGGUACCUGCAGAGAGCGCCGGCUAACCUACGUGCCAGCAGCCGCGGUAAUACGUAGGGCGCAAGCGUUAUCCUGAAUUAUUGGGCGUAAAGAGCUCGUAGGCGGUUUGUCGCGUCUGCCGUGAAAGUCCGGGGCUCAACUCCGGAUCUGCGGUGGGUACGGGCAGACUAGAGUGAUGUAGGGGAGACUGGAAUUCCUGGUGUAGCGGUGAAAUGCGCAGAUAUCAGGAGGAACACCGAUGGCGAAGGCAGGUCUCUGGGCAUUAACUGACGCUGAGGAGCGAAAGCAUGGGGAGCGAACAGGAUUAGAUACCCUGGUAGUCCAUGCCGUAAACGUUGGGCACUAGGUGUGGGGGACAUUCCACGUUUUCCGCGCCGUAGCUAACGCAUUAAGUGCCCCGCCUGGGGAGUACGGCCGCAAGGCUAAAACUCAAAGGAAUUGACGGGGGCCCGCACAAGCGGCGGAGCAUGCGGAUUAAUUCGAUGCAACGCGAAGAACCUUACCAAGGCUUGACAUGAACCGGAAAGAUCUGGAAACAGGUCCCCCACUUGUGGUCGGUUUACAGGUGGUGCAUGGUUGUCGUCAGCUCGUGUCGUGAGAUGUUGGGUUAAGUCCCGCAACGAGCGCAACCCUCGUUCUAUGUUGCCAGCACGUGAUGGUGGGGACUCAUAGGAGACUGCCGGGGUCAACUCGGAGGAAGGUGGGGACGACGUCAAAUCAUCAUGCCCCUUAUGUCUUGGGCUUCACGCAUGCUACAAUGGCCGGUACAAAGGGUUGCGAUACUGUGAGGUGGAGCUAAUCCCAAAAAGCCGGUCUCAGUUCGGAUUGGGGUCUGCAACUCGACCCCAUGAAGUCGGAGUCGCUAGUAAUCGCAGAUCAGCAACGCUGCGGUGAAUACGUUCCCGGGCCUUGUACACACCGCCCGUCAAGUCACGAAAGUUGGUAACACCCGAAGCCGGUGGCCUAACCCCUUGUGGGAGGGAGCUGUCGAA
rnacentral:rRNA from 1 species